rnacentral:tRNA from 1 species
GCGAGAGUGGCGGAAUUGGCAGACGCGCUAGACUUAGGAUCUAGUACCUAACCGGUGUCGGGGUUCGAGUCCCCGCUUUCGCA